CUAUUCUAUCUGGUAGUUGGAUUCUUCCUGUUUCCCCUCGCUGUCUUUGGAUUAGCCCAGGCAGGCUGGGAAGUUCUAACUGCCGUAGGAACUAUUUUCCUCUUUGUCGUUUUUGCCGUUGGAGUUAUAAAAUUUCUUCAAAGGAAAAAACCCGAAUGGUUACCUAAAUGGCUUCGAAAUUGGAAAUUUUUGCCUGUGUAUUUCCGGUCACUUGAACCUCUUGAUCGACUGUUUAAGCAUAUGUUUGGUUUUUGUAAAAUGUGUCACCAUCAUCAUUAUCAUCAACAUAAUCAUCAUCAUCAUAAUCAACGUCAUGCAGAAAGUGCACCGAUCAAUGCAACGGAGAACGAAAAAAUGUUAUAAUCAUCAAAGCAUAUGCUUUCUUGCACGUCUACAAGUUAGCCUACUUGGCAUUUUGUAAGCAGGCUUCUCUUAUGUAAUAGUAUAGUAAUUAUAUAGUAAUAUAUAGUAGUAUAUAGUAAUUAACGGCGUCAGUGACAAUUGUGUCCAACUACAGACAAAUGAAGGAUAACGAGUUCAAAUGACGUUUAUUUCAGUACAUAUUUUGAAAUCUAUAUUUAAAAAGAAAGCCACAUUUCUGUUUUGGUAGGCCUAUCUAUUAAAAUGAUAGCUAUUUAUAUUAACCUUAAGAUCAAAGUAAAAAAAAAAGUCUCAGAAUAUUCACUAGUUUCUAUCACAGUUGAGAAAAAGAAGAAAAAAAAAACAUGCAUAACACUGAGACUUGUCUUAGAUUUUGUGUUCACGUCUUUUGAUAUAACACCAAUGUUGCUAAAUAAUUUGAGUAAUUUUUAUCUUCAUUUAUUUAACCUUACAUUCGGUUUAGAUUUAUAUCUUUGAUGUGAGAUGGUAAUUUCUUGCAAAAAACAUAACGUGUCAUUUCUGAGAACUCUAUUAAAUUGCAGAAGGCCUUCUUAUACAAUACUUCUCACUUUUAAUUAGUUAUCUCUAAAUAUAACCGAAUAAGUUAAACGCUUGAUGUCGUGUCUGAAAUAUUACACAACUGGAUCCUUAGUCAAAGUGAUUACAAUGAUGAAUCAAAGCAUUGAGAGUACUGAAAGCUGGGUCAGUUUAAUCUGUAUGUUUCUUUUUUUUAACAAGAAAGAUAAAAUAUAUAAUAAAAGCAUUAAUUGAUUG
rnacentral:misc_RNA from 1 species